rnacentral:rRNA from 1 species
AACGAACGCUGGCGGCAUGCCUAACACAUGCAAGUCGAACGAAGCCUUCGGGCUUAGUGGCGCACGGGUGCGUAACGCGUGGGAAUCUGCCCUUGGGUACGGAAUAACAGUUAGAAAUGACUGCUAAUACCGUAUGAUGUCUUCGGACCAAAGAUUUAUCGCCCAGGGAUGAGCCCGCGUUGGAUUAGGUAGUUGGUGGGGUAAAGGCCUACCAAGCCGACGAUCCAUAGCUGGUCUGAGAGGAUGAUCAGCCACACUGGGACUGAGACACGGCCCAGACUCCUACGGGAGGCAGCAGUGGGGAAUAUUGGACAAUGGGGGAAACCCUGAUCCAGCAAUGCCGCGUGAGUGAUGAAGGCCUUAGGGUUGUAAAGCUCUUUUACCCGGGAAGAUAAUGACUGUACCGGGAGAAUAAGCCCCGGCUAACUCCGUGCCAGCAGCCGCCGUAA